rnacentral:rRNA from 1 species
GACGAACGCUGGCGGCGUGCUUAACACAUGCAAGUCGAACGGAAAGGCCCUGCUUUGGGUGGGUGCUCGAGUGGCGAACGGGUGAGUAACACGUGAGUAACCUGCCCUUGACGUUGGGAUAACUGCAGGAAACGGGGGCUAAGGCCGGAUAGGAGCUCCUGCUGCAUGGGGGGGGUUGGAAAGGUUCGGCGGUUGGGGAUGGACUCGCGGCUUAUCAGCUUGUUGGUGGGGUAGUGGCUUACCAAGGCUUUGACGGGUAGCCGGCCUGAGAGGGUGACCGGCCACAUUGGGACUGAGAUACGGCCCAGACCCCUCCGGGAGGCAGAAGUGGGGAAUAUUGCACAAUGGGCGGAAGCCUGAUGCAGCAACGCCGCGUGCGGGAUGACGGCCUUCGGGUUGUAACCCGCUUCCGCCUGUGACGAAGCGUGAGUGACGGUACUGGGUAAAGAAGCACCGGCUAACUACGUG